UGGUUUAAUUCGAUGAUACGCGAGGAACCUUACCUGGGCUCAAAUGUAUGUUGACGUAUUCUGAAAGGGAUACUUCUUCGGACAAUAUACAAGGUGCUGCAUGGUUGUCGUCAGCUCGUGCCGUGAGGUGUCGGGUUAAGUCCCAUAACGAGCGCAACCCCUAUCAUUAGUUGCCAUCAGGUCAAGCUGGGGACUCUAAUGAAACUGCCUACGCAAGUAGUGAGGAAGUGGGGAUGACGUCAAAUCAGCACGGCCCUUACGUCCAGGGCUACACACGUGCUACAAUGGCCGGUACAAAGGGCAGCUACCUGGUGACAGGAUGCUAAUCUCAAAAGCCGGCCUCAGUUCGGAUCGGAGUCUGCAACCCGACUCCAUGAAGUUGGAAUCGCUAGUAAUCGCGCAUCAGCAUGGCGCGGUGAAUACGUUCCCGGGCCUU
rnacentral:rRNA from 1 species